rnacentral:rRNA from 1 species
UACGGGGGGGGCAAGCGUUGUUCGGAAUUACUGGGCGUAAAGGGCUCGUAGGCGGCCAACUAAGUCGGAUGUGAAAUCCCCAGGCUUAACCUGGGAACUGCAUCCGAUACUGGAUGGCUUGAAUCCGGGAGAGGGAUGCAGAAUUCUCGGUGUAGCGGUGAAAUGCGUAGAUAUCGAGAGGAACACCUGCGGCGAAGGCGGGUUGCUGGGCUGACACUGACGCUGAUGCGCGAAAGCCAGGGGAGCGAACGGG